AAAAUUUCAGUGGAACCUUUGUGUUUAUUAGUAUCUUGAAUGUCUUUAUGAUUAGAAAAAUUUCCUUGUAUUUUCCAAAGUUUGAUAGAACCGGUAUCACUACCAGAAAAAAAAACAUCUGAUCGGCGUAUACAUCCCUAAACUCAGAAAAGCAAUAUAUUUUAAUGCCAUCAAACAACAAGUUUACAAGCGACGUAAUCCAAGAACCAGUACCAUGACUAUUAUGGACAACACUUAAGGGUUUACGGCUUCCAACAGACCAUAACAUUAUCGUUCUAAACAUUCCUUUAUAUUAAAAAAUAAAUUUCGUCAAUCCUUACCCAUUCUGAUGACCUGAAAGGGUACGAUGACUAUUUAAUUGAACAACGGAAUCAACAGUUUCCAUUUCUGUAUUAAAUAACAAAUGAGAAUCUGUUGCUACUUUCCAUACACGAACAGUAGCAUCCAUUCCCCCUUCGAAACAAAUCAAAAAAACACCAACACAAUAUUAUACACUGAUACAUAAAAGUGUAUCUAAUGAGACCUGUUACUGGUCGUCCUUUAUCUAAAAUAUCAAUACAACAAGGUAGAGCAGUGUGGCCAAAAAACGUUUCUUCACAAGAAGACAAUUCAAGAUUCCACAUUUUCAAUGAUUUGUCUGGCAAAUUUGAGUGAAAAAUUUAGAGAACAAAAGAAUUUAAACGUUUUUUUCAACCUUCUCCUAUAGUAUAAAAACGGCGAGCAUCAGAAGUAUUGGGAUCAAAACAAACACCCUAAAGCCCCCCCCCAAAAAAGCUUUUCCAUGCCCAUAAAGUGUUGAAACACAUAAUGGAACUCUAGCAUCCCAAACACGAACAACAUGAUCAGCGCCAACAGAUAAAAUGGUUUGCGCGUCACAUCCAACAGCAAGAUCUAAAACUUUUUCAAAAUGGCCACCGCAUGAAAAAUGAUGCCGCCUUCCCAAAAAGCGAAUUUUCUUUUUCGUUUCGACGUCCCAAUGUAUAAGGGAACAAUCUUUAGAACCCAAACUCACUGAAAGUGAUAGAUACCUACAGAACUAAUUUUUUUUAAACCCCAAAACGAAAUAUUUACUUUAUCACUUAGGUAACGUUGGGUCUGAUGUUGUGAAUUUUUUUGAAAGUGUUCUGUAACAGUUUCAGUAUGAGAAUGUUUCUCCAUUAUGGAUACUUACAUGACUAAAAGGAAGGACAAUAGAAUAUUUUGGGACACUGUUCACUAGUAUCACAUUUCCGUCAUUGACUGUGACAUUUCUCAACAGGCGUACUCAUUCUAAAAAAAGUUCUCAUUCUUGUUUACGAAUUCGCGAAUUAGCAGUAAAAUAAAAAAACUUAUCAUCACUAUAAAAAACCGUAAAUUUUUUUAUCAACAUCUUUCCCACUGCUAGCAUUGACUUCAAGCAAUUUAUGAUUCUUUUAUAAAAUUUUCCUUCAUAUGAUUUAAAAUCUGUUGACAAUCUACAAAAAGAUUGGUUUUUUAAGUGACUUGUCAAUGAUAUUUUUAGCUAUGCUAAAAACUAAUUUAUGUAUUCGGAAAGAUUUCGUUUUAAACACGCAUGUCGUACUUCUUACCUAUUAAGAAAGAUUCAAAAAUUAUUGAGAGACUAAGUUCCUCAAGCUCCCUAACCCUAACAAUAUUACGCCUUGUUUUGAUCAAUGGUCGAACUGAAAAUUUAAGACAUCCUUUAAGAAACGUAAAGUAAUUUCAUUUAAAGAUAUUUUUUCUUUGAUUUUACAUUAAAUACAUGUCGUGUUUUAAUUUUUCUCCUUUUUCUUUUUAAAUAAAGAGUGGUUUUGGUACAGUGUUAAGAAGCGUUAUAAGUGUCUACUUGCAGACUUUUUAUAAAAUAGAUUUUCAGCUAAGGAUGUUAGAAUUCGUUAUACAUGAUUCCUUUAUAAGCUAAAAUAAAGAAUAUUUCUUUUUAAUUAAAGCGUUGAUUUGAUUACACACUUUUCGCAUUGUAGGUUCGAAUGAGAGUCUCUUUUGAAGUGUUUUCGCUAUAACAAAACAUCUAGAAUUUGUAGAGAUUAAUGAGAAGAAAGGUGUCCGUGCAUUUGGACAUCAGUGUCACCAAUUUAAAUAAACAUUAAAGUUGUUUUAGUGGCAAAACAAAUACACUUUCUUUUUGUUUGAAAUAGAGAGUUAUUCACAUUAAUAGCAAAAAAACAGACAGUGCUUGUUAAAAGAAAGCUUUUUUGUUUACCCCGAAUAAUGAAAGACAAUAGUUUGCGCUUUUAAAGAAAAAGGUGGGCUUUAAGC